rnacentral:misc_RNA from 1 species
UGGACUACUCGGGUUUCUAAUCCUGUUCGCUCCCCACGCUUUCGCUCCUCAGUGUCAGUAUUGGCCCAGAGACCUGCCUUCGCCAUCGGUGUUCCUCCUGAUAUCUGCGCAUUCCACCGCUACACCAGGAAUUCCAGUCUCCCCUACCAAACUCUAGCUUGCCCGUAUCGGCUGCAAGUCAGGGGUUGAGCCCCUGAAUUUCACAACCGACGUAACAAACCACCUACGAGCUCUUUACGCCCAAUAAUUCCGGACAACGCUUGCACCCUAUGUAUUACCGCGGCUGCUGGCACC